rnacentral:rRNA from 1 species
AUGUAUAACAUGUCUUAUGUAAGAACAAGCUUUAUGUUCUCGUAUUCUCACUUUGUUCGUCAUCAUUCUUCAAUAUUUGGUUGUGAUUAUCCAAGAUCUCCAGCCACAAAACCACCACAAUCAUGUCAUCAUGAGCGGAAAACCACUACAAAAUGUUGCAAAAUGCACCGCACUGAAAAAUGGCAAAAAACACUGACAGAGGGAGAUAAGUGGUUUGAUGACAUCAGGCUGAGUUGGAAGAAAAAAAUGCCUACGUGGCACUUGACUUGGUCUUCUUCUUCCUCAUCACCCUCACUCGUUGGCAUUUCAUCGAACACCACAUGA